GGGGGAAGCUUACAUGCAGUCGAACGGGGAUUACACGGAGAUGCGAUUUCGGUCAAUCAAGUGCAAUCUUAGUGGCGGACGGGUGAGUAACGCGUGGGUAACCUGCCUUGCACUGGGGGAUAACACUUAGAAAUAGGUGCUAAUACCGCAUAAGCGCACGGUCCCGCAUGGGACAGUGUGAAAAACUCCGGUGGUGCAAGAUGGACCCGCGUCUGACUAGCUGGUUGGCGGGGUAAAGGCCCACCAAGGCGACGAUCAGUAGCCGGCCUGAGAGGGUGGACGGCCACAUUGGGACUGAGACACGGCCCAAACUCCUACGGGAGGCAGCAGUGGGGGAUAUUGGACAAUGGGGAACCCUGAUCCAGCGACGCCGCGUGAGUGAAGAAGUAUUUCGGUAUGUAAAGCUCUGUCAGCAGGGAAGAAAGCAAUGACGGUACCUGACCAAGAAGCCCCGGCUAACUACGUGCCAGCAGCCGCGGUAAUACGUAGGGGGCAAGCGUUAUCCGGAAUUACUGGGUGUAAAGGGAGCGUAGACGGCUGUGCAAGUCUGGAGUGAAAGGCGGGGGCCCAACCCCCGGACUGCUCUGGAAACUGUAUGGCUGGAGUGCAGGAGAGGUAAGCGGAAUUCCUAGUGUAGCGGUGAAAUGCGUAGAUAUUAGGAGGAACACCAGUGGCGAAGGCGGCUUACUGGACUGUAACUGACGUUGAGGCUCGAAAGCGUGGGGAGCAAACAGGAUUAGAUACCCUGGU
rnacentral:rRNA from 1 species